rnacentral:rRNA from 1 species
GAUGAACGCUGGCGGCGUGCUUAACACAUGCAAGUCGAACGGCAAGGCCUCUGCUUGCCGGGGUUCUCGAGUGGCGAACGCGUGAGUAACACGUGGGUGAUCUGCCCUGCACUUCGGGGUAAGCCUGGGAAACUGGGUCUACUACCGUAUAGCACACUGGUUUGGAUGCUGUUGUGGAAAGCUUUUCGGUUUGGGCUGUGCUCUCGGCCUAUCAGCUUUUUGGUGGGGUACUGGCGUACCAAGGCGGCGACGAGUAGCCGGCCUGUGAGAGCGUACGGACACACUAGGACCGAGAUACAGGCAAGAGUCCGAAGGGUGGGAGCAGGGGGGAAAAUUGGACAAAGGGAGCAAGCGUGAGGCAAGGACGCCGUGUGGGGGAUGACGGCCUUUGGGGUGUAAAAACCGUUCGCGAUGGACGAAGCGCUGUUGUGACGGUACCUGGAGAAGAAGCACCGGCUAACUACGUG